rnacentral:rRNA from 1 species
CACGGGGGGAGCAAGCGUUGUUCGGAAUCACUGGGCGUAAAGGGCGUGCAGGCGGUCAGGUAAGUGGGAUGUGAAAUGCCCCGGCUCACCCGGGGACCGGCAUCUCAUACUGCUUGGCUUGAGUACGGGAGAGGAUGUGGGAAUUCCUGGUGUAGCGGUGACAUGCGUAGAUAUCAGGAGGAACACCGGUGGCGAAGGCGCACAUCUGGCCCGAUACUGACGCUGAGGCGCGAAAGCUAGGGGAGCAAACGGG